UCUUGAAGCAUUGGUUGGAGUUUACCUUCUAUCUAUGGCUCUGUGAACUUCCUGGAUAAAUGUUGGAACCAUGGCUCUACACUGACAUAUUUUUCAUAUGGACAACAAUGAGGGUGAGACCAUAUUUCUGAGAUUCAAUCAAGUCUCUCAGUUCUAAUUGCUGAAGAAGAGAUGGAGCCUCAGCCUGGGAAUACCAAGGUGGCAGAGGUAUUUAAGCUUGUGCACGGUGACAAGUUGGCCACGAUCACAUGGACUGGGGGCUCAAUGAGAUGUCCUUAGUGGAAUGGGGUGCUGACUUCAGCAAGAGAUCAAGAAAAGAGACAAAGAAGGAAAGCCACAGUUACCCUGGAAAGUUCCGGUGUGUCCUUUUAUUGGAUUUAAAAAAUAAUGAAAGAAAGAUCUGUAUGAUGAAAAUUACAAACUGCUGAUCAAAGAAAUCAAAGAAGACCUAAACAGACUGAGAAACAUCUGUGUUCAUGGGUUGGAAGGUUCUGCAUUGUAAAGAUGUCAAUUUCUACCCAAAUUGAUAAUAGUUUCAAUGGAAUGCCAAUCAAAAUCUCCACAAGGUUUUUGCAGACCCAGAAAAGCUGAUCUGUAAAUUCCUAUGGAAAGGGAGACUCAAGAAUAAAAUAUCUUGACAAAGAAGAA